rnacentral:tRNA from 1 species
GGCCCUGUGGCGCAACGGAAUAACGCGUCUGACUACGGAUCAGAAGAUUCCAGGUUCGAAUCCUGGCAGGGUCG